GUCAGCUGGCAAUGGCCGUAUUCACUAGCAUUUUGUUAACAUGUGCUUUUAUACUGUUUAGUUAUUUCUAAUGUAGAUCAAAAAAAUAUUGAAAAUUCAACAAACUUCAACAAUACUUCAACAAAAAAAUAUCAGUGAAGACGGCCAAUUAGUCGUUAAAGUACGAUUAGUGCGGUUUUAAUAAACUCAGUUAUUUUUAAUGAUAUUGAAUAUUAACCAGCAUAGAAAUUUCAGUGGUUUCUAGUAUUUUGUAAUAAAAUUAAAUCAAUCGUAUAAUCAAAUUCAAAUCGUAUAAUUUGAUGAUAUCCGAAGUGGAGCAUUAUUUAUAUUGUCAUUUUUUUUACAUGAUAUUCACUACGUUUUUUUUUCCUACCUUAGCUGAUAGCCUUGAGAGACUAUAUCAGCGUUGCCUUAACUAGUAGGUGAGCUCACGAGGCUCAAACCUGAUGAUGUUGCUAACACGAACCCUAGCAAGAGCUGUGCUUCGCAGAAUCUACCACCGGAUCGGAAACGCGACCCACUGAGAAGAUCAGGCGAGAAACUCAGUCGGCUGUGUCUGAGGGUUAAUUUAAUCGUCGAGCCCUUCGUCGCAAGCGACGGGUUCGACGAGAACGAUGACCGGUGCUUGAGGAUCGGGAAUGACGUCACUAUGUAAGAAGAAGGGUCGUCGUACCCCCUUUCGGGGGUACGGAACGGGCCUCGGGGCAAACCCAACUACCCAGGCAGAAGCUCCCUGCCACACAGGGUAGGGGUGAUGUGGGUGCAGGAACGAUCAAGGAGGAUCAUCCAAAAAGUCCGCAGAAAAAAUCUCAAUAAAAAAUGACCAUCUUAUUAA